rnacentral:lncRNA from 1 species
AACUUCUCUUAUGUGGCGCUGUUGAAGGGUUAUAUUGACCUAAAUGGAGCCUAUCAGACAACCAAUACCCAGGUGCUAAAAACUUCUGGAAAAAAUAUGAUAAAAAAACAAUACAGAUGAAAAGAAAAUACGAUUAACCAUGUUAAAACUCAUGUGCAGAGGCGGGAAUCGUGCUUGUACGAUACUCACAACGAUCAAACAAAUGAUGGGGGUGAACCUCUACUACAUUUACAACAAACAAAGGCUCGGGACUGCGACACGGACAACACACCAAGCCAUGAGGUAAGCGUGCAGAAAAAACUGUAAAACAAAUGGGGGAAUAGAAAAAAUGUAAAACUUAUAACAAAUGAGGAAAAAUAGCAAAAAGGAUGUGUGGAUAAGUAUUUAAUGUUCCCUUUUAUUCAGGAUUUACACGUGUUGGGUGACUUUGUUGACGACCAAGACAAUUCUCCUAUGCAAUUGGAGGAUGUGGAUGCACAAACAACAACUUUUGAUGAUAUUCUCUUGGAUCCAUGGAAGCCAACCCUCUUUGAUGAUAUUCUCUUGGAUGAGG